GAUGAACGCUAGCUACAGGCUUAACACAUGCAAGUCGCGGGGCAGCAUGGGGGUUGCUUGCAACCCCUGAUGGCGACCGGCGCACGGGUGAGUAACGCGUAUCCACCCUGCCCUUCACAAGGGGUUAACCCGGCGAAGGUCGGACUAAUACCGUAUGUUGUCAAUUGACGGCACCGGAUUGGGACGAAAGGCUGGGGGGUGAAGGGAGGGGGAUGCGUCCGAUUAGCUUGACGGCGGGGUAACGGCCAACCGUGGCUACGAUCGGUAGGGGUUCUGAGAGGAAGGUCCCCCACACUGGAACUGAGACACGGUCCAGACUCCUACGGGAGGCAGCAGUGAGGAAUAUUGGUCAAUGGGCGUAAGCCUGAACCAGCCAAGUAGCGUGCAGGAUGACGGCCCUAUGGGUUGUAAACUGCUUUUAUGCGGGGAUAAAGUGGCCCACGUGUGGGCUUUUGCAGGUACCGCACGAAUAAGGACCGGCUAAUUCCGUG
rnacentral:rRNA from 1 species